rnacentral:pre_miRNA from 1 species
GGCUUUGGAGUCUAAGGAAAUUAGGUCGGAUACAUACGAAUUAGUGCGUAUGCGUGUCUGUCUUCGUGAUCAAGCCUGACCCCUUAAUCUAUCGGAAA